rnacentral:misc_RNA from 1 species
GUGAAUCAUCAAAUUUUUGAACGCAAAUUGCGCUUUCUGGUAUUCCGGGAAGUAUGCCUGUUUGGGGGUCAUGUAAAUAAAAAUCGUUGGUUUGGCUGCCUUUCUUGUUUACGCGGCGGAUUUAAGUCUGCUUACCUUCGGUUAAGUGACUUAAAAUUUUUUCAUGGUUUUCGAACGUAUUUAAAUCAUUUACGUACGUUUGAGAUAUCUAAUGCUUAUUAUGUUCGGUCAUCCUCAUUGCCCGCUUCUAUAAUUUUUUCAUUACAUUACCUCAAAUCAGGUAAGAAUACCCGCUGAACUU